CACACUGGAAAGCGAGUGACCGUUCACUCCACCCAAGGGGCAAGGCGUCGUUUCGACGUUGAAACUCUCAGGUACCGAUGACAGUGGG
rnacentral:ncRNA from 2 species